rnacentral:lncRNA from 1 species
AGUUGCUAGAAAGCAAUGCGCCUAUUCACAUGGAGAAUCUUCCCUUUCCUCUAAAAUUACUUAGUGCCUCAUCACUAAACACCCCCAGCUCCACACCAUGGGUGUUGGAUAUCUUCCUCACCUUGGUGUUUGCCCUGGGGCUCUUCUUCCUAUUACUCCCCUACUUCUCUUACCUCCGUUGUGACAACCCACCCUCACCAUCGCCUAGGAAGAGAAAGAAGACAAAAACAUUGUGUGGGAAAGCUGGAGUUGAGGACGAACGAGAUUCUGAAAAUAAAAAUCCCUGGUACAUAAGCCAAAAUUUCAGAGUCAACUACAGAUUUUCAAAGGCUAUGAAAUAGGUAACCUCAAGCCACCGACUCCAAUAGAUAAAAGGAACCAGUUCCACCUUUCCAAAUCCAGUGGAGACUUCUGCGAUGGGAAGUCUCAGGAGAGACCAGAACAGCAUGCUUCCAGGGAGAGGCAGGGCAGCCAGGGGCUGCAGUGAAAUGAAGCGAUACCGGCUCAGUGCCACCUUUGCUUCCAGAGUUCAAGCUAUUCUCCUGUCUUAGCGUCCUGAGUAGCUGGGGAUUACAGGCGCCCGCCACCACGCCUGGCUAAUUUUCGUAUUUUUAGUAGAGAUGGGGUUUCACCAUGGCCAGGCUGGUCUCAAACUCUUGACCUCAGGUGAUCCACCUGCCUCGGCCUCCCAAAGUGCUUGGAUUAUAGGCGUGAGCCACCGCACCCGACCCCCUCUUCCUGUUUUUCUAAGAAAAGCAGUUUAUCAUCCAUUUAAACAUGAGUGGGAGGGGAGAAAGCACACAGAGCUCCCUGAGCAAGACAGACAGAGCCAUGCGGUUCAUGAGUGCAGCGUGCUGCGGCUGGGGGCAGAGAGGGAGAGCCGGUCCUAGCUCCUCGCCAUUUCUUGUCUCCCAGCGUCAUCUUGUCUCCCAGCGUCAUCUUGUCUCCCAGUGUCCAACAGGGCGGAGGGGGAGGCCCAGAGGCAGGAUGAAAAACCACAGUCUGAGAGCUUGUAGAGAGUGCCCGAGAGGCCUGGAGGAGACUUGGGACCUGCUUUCACAACUGCAGAGCCUCCUGGGGCCACACCUUGAAAAAGGUGACUUUGGUCAGCUCUCUGGUCCAGACCCGCCAGGUGAGGUGGGCAAAAGAACACCUGAUGGAGCCUCCCGGUCCUCUCAUGAGCCUAUGGAAGAUGCUGCUCCCAUUGUCUCCCCGUUAGCUUCCCCGGAUCCUCGAACCAAGCAUCCUCAGGAUCUGGCCUCCACCCCACCACCAGGCCCAAUGACCACCUCAGUCUCCUCCCUAAGUGCCUCCCAGCCACCAGAACCUUCCCUUCUCCUAGAACGCCCCUCACCCGAGCCACCUGCACUUUUCCCUCACCCACCACACACCCCUGAUCCUCUGGCCUGCUCUCCACCUCCUCCGAAAGGCUUCACUCCUCCUCCCCUGCGGGACUCCACUCUGUUAACACCAUCUCACUGUGACUCAGUGGCACUUCCACUGGACACCGUCCCUCAAAGCUUGUCUCCACGUGAGGAUUUGGCGGCUUCUGUCCCAGCCAUCUCAGGCCUUGGCGGCUCAAACAGUCAAGUUUCUGCCCUCUCCUGGUCGCAGGAGACUACCAAAACCUGGUGCAUCUUCAACUCGUCAGUCCAGCAAGAUCAUCUUUCCCGCCAAAGGGACACCACAAUGUCCCCACUGCUUUUCCAGGCCCAGCCCCUGUCCCAUCUGGGGCCUGAGUCCCAACCCUUUAUUUCAUCCACACCCCAAUUCCGGCCCACACCUAUGGCUCAGGCCGAGGCUCAGGCCCAUCUUCAAUCCUCUUUCCCAGUCCUAUCUCCUGCUUUUCUAUCCCCGAUGAAGAACACUGGAGUAGCUUGCCCUGCGUCGCAGAAUAAAGUGCAAGCUCUCUCCUUACCUGAAACUC